rnacentral:rRNA from 1 species
GCCCGGUAGCUAAGUGCGGAAGAGAUAACCGCUGAAAGCAUCUAAGCGGGAAACUUGCCUUGAGAUGAGUCUUCCCUGACUCUUUAAGGGUCCUAAAGGAACGUUUAAGACUAAGACGUUGAUAGGUUGGGUGUGUAAGCGUAGCGAUACGUUGAGCUAACCAAUACUAAUGAACCGUGAGGCUUAACCUG